rnacentral:rRNA from 1 species
CGGACGGGUGAGUAAUGUCUGGGAAACUGCCUGAUGGAGGGGGGAUAACUACUGGAAACGGUAGCUAAUACCGCAUAACGUCGCAAGACCAAAGAGGGGGACCUUCGGGCCUCUUGCCAUCAGAUGUGCCCAGAUGGGAUUAGCUAGUAGGUGGGGUAACGGCUCACCUAGGCGACGAUCCCUAGCUGGUCUGAGAGGAUGACCAGCCACACUGGAACUGAGACACGGUCCAGACUCCUACGGGAGGCAGCAUG